rnacentral:rRNA from 1 species
AUCCCUGACCGCGUAGUGAAAGUACGUUUCACCGUCGGGUGACUAGGGAGACAGGUGGUGCAUGGUUGUCGUCAGCUCGUGUCGUGAGAUGUUGGGUUAAGUCCCGCAACGAGCGCAACCCCUACGUUUAGUUGCUAACGCGUGAAGGCGAGCACUCUAGACGAACUGCCGUUGACAAAACGGAGGAAGGUGGGAUGACGUCAAAUCAUCAUGCCCCUUAUGUUCUGGGCUACACACGUGCUACAAUGGCCGGUACAGACGGACGCAAAGCCGCGAGGUGGAGCAAAUCCUAAAAAGCCGGUCUCAGUUCGGAUUGCAGGCUGCAAUUCGCCUGCAUGAAGUCGGAAUCGCUAGUAAUCGCAGGUCAGCAUACUGCGGUGAAUACGUUCCCGGGCCUU